AUCGCUUCUCAGCCUUUUGGCUAAGAUCAAGUGUAGAUGUUUCUGAUAUGUUUAGCAGUAUUUGCUAUUUAAGUAUAUUAAUUUCAUUUGCUCUUAGAAAAACUGUU
ensembl:snRNA U2 U2 spliceosomal RNA